rnacentral:sRNA from 1 species
GCUGGGCAUGAUGACACAUGCCUGUAAUCCCAGCGGCAUGGGAGGCUGAGGCAGGAGAAUUGCAACUUCAAAGCCAGCCUCAGCAAAAGUGAGGUGCUAAGCUACUGAGUGAGACUCUGUCUUUA